CCCAGCUCGCGCCGGAUUUGAGGGGGCGGGGUCUUAGGGAGCCCCGCCCAGCGUUUGCGAGGCGGUGCUCAGUUCGAUUCUGAGGUGGCUUAGGGGGCAGAUUUUGUUAACGCCUGCGGAGCAGGGCUGAAGUCAGCUAGGGCGGAUCAAGAUGGUAAUGGGAGUGCCUCAAUCUGGAGAGCAAGUAAUGAGACCCUCCGUCUAUUCCUCGGUCUUUGUCACAGCCUCUCAGGCUGGAAUUUGUUUCUCCAGGUUACAGGUGGCUGACGUAGUAAUUUAACCUCUGCAGCUGAGAGAAGUACAAGCCUCCGGAGAGGUCCAUUUCCUUGGGAACUAUGUACUAGUGCUCAUGAACUAUAGCUUUCUGGAAAUAGUGUUCUGGUUUUUCUACAUCAGAAAAAUGACUUGAUGGUGAAACCUGAGUUUCAGCAAGAAGGUAUGCAAAGAACAUGGUAGAUUACUUGGGGGCAAGUGGCUCACAAUGCGUGUCCCCACAUAGAACU